CUGAUGGUUCUUUUUUUGAUCCUCUCCCUUUACAUGGCACACCUUCCAUUUGUUUUUCAGAAUUUCAAUUGUAAACUUCAAAUUCUCCUCCUCAUCCUGCCUUUAUCUUAUUUACAUCCAGGAGAUUCUUGUGCUUCUCUGAGGGCUGACAUGCCCUGGCUUAAACUGGAGCUGCCCUGAGGAUGAUUUUAUAUUUAGUAGCAACUUAUGAGCUGCUCUCGUUUGAAGCAGCCCAGACUGCCUGAUACAAUAUUUACUGUGGAAAUCUCUCUCUUGCCUCUCCCAAUCGCAGUGUAAUGAUAUGGCUGAGCUUGAGAAGGGGCCAGGGCCUUACCCAAAGCAUGCCUGGGUAGCAGAGCCUUGCAGGGCACAGUUUCUAGCCCCUUUAUGCCAUCAGAGUAACCCACAAGAUCUGUGCUGAGGGACGAAAUUCUGUCCCACAAAAUCUGUUGCCGGGAGAGCACAGCUAUCAGCUUGUAUCAUUCAGAAUAUACCUGUAUAAAAGGCCUAACCAAGUGCAACCUCUGAUAUUCUCCCCUCAUAAUGUUGGGGUUUUUCUUCUGCAUUUAUUACAAGUUGGUCCCUUCUUAGAGUGGCAUAUUGAUUUGGAGGGCUUAAGAGUUCUUCUGCAGGAGCGAUAUGAAUGCAAAAUCACCUGGCUUCUCCCAUCCUUUGGGUGUCAGCUUUUUAAUAGGGAGCUUUCAGAAAUCCACCUCUCAGGUUUUAUACAAAGCUCCUGGCGUUAGCAUCCAGGUGCUCUGGUAUGACCAUUGCUCCCCAUGCCAAGUCCUUGUGAUAGCGAUGGGGUGGAGCUCUGACCUGCAGCUUUCCUCUUUCCAAUGGAAAAGUCAGCAGUGAAGGUUCACGGGACUGUGAAAGACCCACAGCUCUCCCUCCAAACACCCCACUGGGCUCCAGCCUGCAGGAGGCAGGUCAGUCCCUUUUAAAAUGGUCCCUAUUUCAAGCCUGCGAUGAUUUUAAGUGUGACAGCAUGUGGGUGGGAAGCAGUGUAUCAGAUGGAGCACUGUCUCAGCUCUCAGCAUCGUGAGCCUGCAGAAUAAAGAAAUGGCACAAUAUUGCCUCUGUGGAGAGCAGCCUUUCCUGGAACAUUUGACUGAAGCGGCAACGUGGUAACACAGACUCUGGUCUCUCUAGAUUGUGUUCCUGGAAAAGCUGUUCAAUUAUUGAUAAGGGUCGCACUGACAACACCAAAAGAUGAGGCUCUUGCUUGCCUUUAAUAAUUUCUUACUCAGCAGAUCUUUCACUUACAGCUCAGCAGAAUUGGCAUUGCAGACACAUCAGCUGAAAUACAAUAUGCAUGCUGGAAAGACAGGCGACUGCCCAGCUUUUUCAUUUGCAAACUAGAAAGGAAUAUAGAGCCGGCACCCCGGGUCGAUUCUGCUUUGCAAGAUGGUAACUGCCAUUAUGAAGCUGGCACUGCCAGGUCUUCUUUCCUGCUGAUAACGUUUCAUCCUUGUUCAUUGCUCAGAGCUGUUCUUGAGUUCUUCCUCUCCCACUUAUAUGCUGGAAAGGAGGAUCUCCCAAUAAAGCUCUUCUGGAGAAUCUGAAGCAUCUGUUGUGCAGAAUCAGCACUUUCAUUAGUCUUAAUGGAGCCUCUUCUUGCGGAAGACACUGGAGAGGCUUUGCAUGUAACUGAGGAAUUUCUAUUGCAGACCAUCAAGGAGAUAGACACCCCACACUGCCUGGUGCUUGUGAUUUGAAGUGAAAAAAAUACUGAUAAUGCGGUAUGAAUGCAGUGCUGUGUUUCUGAUACAGAUGGGCCCAACCCAAGAUCUUGUUUCCCUGAAUUUCUUAAAGUUCAAGGGAGGUUGGAGCCAAAGUGCUUAACUGAACAGUCUAAUUUUGUGUUUAGUUUUAUUUGUUAUGGAAGUGACAAAAUUGGCUUUAUGAAACAAAUGUUGCUUGCCGUACCAUUAAAUCAGUUUCUUCUCUUUUGCAA